CCUACGGGUGGCAGCAGUGGGGAAUAUUGGGCAAUGGGCGCAAGCCUGACCCAGCAACGCCGCGUGAAGGAAGAAGGCUUUCGGGUUGUACACUUCUUUUCUCAGGGACGAAGCAAGUGACGGUACCUGAGGAAUAAGCCAUGGCUAACUACGAGCCAGCAGCCGCGGUAAUACGUAGGUUGCAGGCGUUAUCCGGAUUUACUGGGUGUAAAGGGCGUGUAGGCGGGACUGCAAGUCAGAUGUGAAAACCACGGGCUCAAACUGUGGCCUGCAUUUGAUACUGUAGUGCUUGAGGACUGGAGAGGCAGGCGGAAUUCCUAGUGUAGCGGUGAAAUGCGUAGAUAUUAGGAGGAACACCAGUGGCGAAGGCGGUCUGCUGGACAGCAACUGACGCUGAGGCGCGAAAGCGUGGGGAGCAAACAGGAUUAGAUACCCCAGUAGUC
rnacentral:rRNA from 1 species